rnacentral:lncRNA from 1 species
GCCGCUUGCGGUGGUGAUCCUCUUAGGAUUGGCUGUUUUCGGCUAAAUUCAGCGAAAUUUGCAUCAGUUCCAUUAAGAAAACACACUUAGGGCCCUUGGUUGACCGAAAAAACGUAUAAAACCGAAACUCACCAGCGAUGGGACUCUCUGGUACGACGGCUCCUCCGGCUCACGUUGCAGUUGGGUGUUUUACUCCGAUCAACCUGUAGAGAAGAAAACGGUGGUCACAACAUUAAAAAAAUUAUGCGAAAUGGGAAUCGAGAAGGGCCUCAUCGGAGGCAGUUUGUGAAAUUUCCCGCGGUGGCGCCAAAGAGCUUUGGUGGUAUUUUUUUGG